CUACGGGAUGCAGCAGUGGGGAAUAUUGCACAAUGGGCGCAAGCCUGAUGCAGCAACGCCGCGUGAGGGAUGAAGGCCUUCGGGUUGUAAACCUCUUUUAGCAGGGAAGAAGCGAAAGUGACGGUACCUGCAGAAAAAGCACCGGCUAACUACGUGCCAGCAGCCGCGGUAAUACGUAGGGUGCAAGCGUUGUCCGGAAUUAUUGGGCGUAAAGAGCUCGUAGGCGGUUUGUCACGUCUGCUGUGAAAAUCCAAGGCUCAACCUUGGACUUGCAGUGGGUACGGGCAGGCUAGAGUGCGGUAGGGGAGAUGGGAAUUCCUGGUGUAGCGGUGGAAUGCGCAGAUAUCAGGAGGAACACCAAUGGCGAAGGCACAUCUCUGGGCCGUAACUGACGCUGAGGAGCGAAAGCGUGGGGAGCGAACAGGAUUAGAUACCCCUGUAGUC
rnacentral:rRNA from 1 species